rnacentral:rRNA from 1 species
UGGUUAAGCUACUAAGGGCACAUGAAGGAUGCCUUGGCACGAUCAGGCGAUGAAGGACGUGGUAAGCUGCGAAAAGCUUCGGGGAACUGCACACGAGUUUUGAUCCGGAGAUAUCCGAAUGGGGAAACCCAGUGGAAGUAAUGUUCCACUAUCCCGUACUGAAUCCAUAGGUGCGGGAAGCGAGACGCGGGGAAGUGAAACAUCUCAGUACCCGCAGGAGAAGAAAUCAACCGAGAUUCCGCAAGUAGUGGCGAGCGAACGCGGAGAAGGCUAAACCGUCCGGUUUACCGGGCGGGGUUGCGGGACUUCGAUACGGCAAGACCAGUCGAUAGCGGAAGCUGUUGGAAAGCAGCGGCAUAGAAGGUGAUACCCCUGUAUGCGAAAUUGACUGUAAGCCCAGAAGGAUCCCAAGUAGGUCGGAACACGUGAAACUCUGACUGAAUCCGGGGGGCCCACCCUCCAAGCCUGAAUACUCGAUCGUGACCGAUAGCGCAUAGUACCGCGAGGGAAAGGUGAAAAAGUACCCCGGAAGGGGAGUGAAAAGUAUCUGAAAUCAUGUGUCUACAAAGUGUCGGAGCGAAAGCGACGGCAUGCCUUUUGCAUAAUGAGCCUGCGACUUACUCUAACGAGCGAGGUUAAGCCGAGUGCGGAGCCGAAGCGAAAGCGAGUGUGAAUAGCGCGUCUAGUUCGUUGGAGUAGACCCGAAGCUGAGUGAUCUAUCCAUGGCCAGGUUGAACCUGCAGUAACAUGCAGCGGAGGACCGAACCAGUUCAUGUUGAAAAAUGUUUGGAUGAGCUGUGGAUAGGGGUGAAAGGCCAAUCAAACUCAGUGAUAGCUGGUUCUCUUCGAAAUAGCUUUAGGGCUAGCCUUGCGUAAAUAGUUUGUGGGGGUAGAGCUACUGAUUGUUCGCGGGCCCUUACCGGGGUACCAAGAACUAUUAAACUCCGAAUACCAUGAACCGUACCGCAGGAGUCAGACUAUGGGGGAUAAGCUUCAUGGUCGAGAGGGAGACAGCCCAGACCGCCGGCUAAGGUCCCCAAUCCGGACUUAGUGGUUUGAAGGAUGUGAUGUUGCAUAAACAGCCAGGAUGUUGGCUUAGAGGCAGCCAUCAUUUAAAGAGUGCGUAAUAGCUCACUGGUCGAGUGAUAUCGCGCCGAAGAUGAUCGGGACUGAAGUCCAGAACCGAAGCCGCGGAUCGUGAAUUUAUUCACGGUGGUAGAAGAGCGUUGUAUGCGGGUCGAAGCCGAAGAGGGAUCUGAGGUGGACUGCAUACAAGUGACCAUGCAGGCAUGAGUAGCGAAAAACCGGAUGAGAAUUCCGGUCACCGAAAACCUAAGGUUUCCCGGGGAAGGUUCGUCCGCCCGGGGUUAGUCGGAACCUAAGGCGAGGCCGAAAGGCGUAGUCGAUGGAGGACAGGUUAAUAUUCCUGUACCACCUUGUUGGAGUGAUGGAGGGACGCAGUAAGUCAGGUGAGCCAACUGCUGAAUAUGUUGGUCGAAGGCCGUAGGGCGCACGAUAGGCAAAUCCGUCGUGCUUUCAACCCGAGAGUCGUAAGGUAGCCGAACGCAAGUUCGGCGAAUUCACUGUGACGACGCUGACGAGAAAAGCUUCUAAACGUUGAAAACAGGGUGUCCGUACCGAAACCGACACAGGUAGGUGAGGCGAGUAGCCUAAGGUGCGCGAGAGAAACCAACGUUAAGGAACUCGGCAAAUUGACCCCGUAACUUAGGGAUAAGGGGUGCCGCUUCAGGUGAAGGGACUUGCUCCCGGAGCCCGGAGCGGUUGCAACAAAGAGGCUGGUGCGACUGUUUAACAAAAACACAGCUCUAUGCUAACUCGCAAGAGGAUGUAUAUGGAGUGACACGUGACCAAUGCCAAAAGGUCAAUGGGAGAGGUUAGCGCAAGCGAAGCUUCGAUCUGAAGCCCUGGUGAAUGUCGGCCGUAACUAUAACGGUCCUAAGGUAGCGAAAUUCCUUGUCGGGUAAGUUCCGACCUGCACGAAUCGUGUAACGAUGCCAGCACUGUCUCAACGUGGAUCUCGGCGAAGUUGUAAUUCCGGUGAAAAUGCCGGAUACCUGCGGAAGGACGGAAAGACCCCAUGAACCUUUACUGUAAUCUGAUAUUGGUAUUUGAUUGCUCUUGUGUAGCAUAGGUGGGAGGCAGUGAAACCGCUACGCCAGUACCGGUGGAGCCACAGGUGAAAUACCACCCUGGUGUAAUUAGAUAUCUAACGGUGUCCCGUGAAUCCGGGCCCCGGACCGUGUCAGAGGGUCAGUUUGACUGGGGCGGUUUCCUCCUAAAUUGUAACGGAGGAGCCCGAAGGUACACUCAGCACGGUUGGCAAUCGUGUGCAGAGCGUAAGGGUAGAAGUGUGCUUUACUGUAAGACCGACAGGUCGAGCAGUUGCGAAAGCAGGGCCUAGUGAUCCAGCGAUGGAAUGUGGAAUCGUCGUUGCUCAACGGAUAAAAGGUACUCUGGGGAUAACAGGCUGAUAGCGCCCAAGCGUCCAUAGCGACGGCGCUGUUUGGCACCUCGAUGUCGACUCAUCACAUCCUGGGGCUGUAGAAGGUCCCAAGGGUUCGGCUGUUCGCCGAUUAAAGUGGUACGCGAGUUGGGUUCAGAACGUCGUGAGACAGUUCGGUCCUUAUCCUCCGCAGGCGCAGGAUAUUUGAUGGGAUCAUUCCUUAGUACGAGAGGACCGGGAAUGACUGACCUCUGGUGUUCCGGUUGUGGCGUCAGCUGCAUUGCCGGGUAGCUAUGUCGGGAACGGAUAAGCGCUGAAAGCAUCUAAGCGCCAAGCCCACCCAAAGACGAGAUAUCCCUUCCCGCAAGGGACUGAAGGCCGGUCGAAGACUACGACCUUGAUAGGACGGAGAUGUAAGCGCAGUAAUGCGUUCAGUUUACCGUUACUAAUCGGCCGUGAGGCUUAACCACC